rnacentral:rRNA from 1 species
GAAUUCGCCCUUAGAGUUUUAUCCUGGCUCAGGACGAACGCUGGCGGCGCGCCUAACACAUGCAAGUCGAACGAGCGGAGACCCUUCGGGGUUGAAGUUAGUGGCGGACGGGUGAGUAACACGUGAGGAACCUGCCUUACAGAGAGGGAUACCGUUUGGAAACGAACGUUAAUACCGCAUAAUGUAUUGAAAUCGCAUGGUUUUGAUACCAAAGAUUUAUCGCUGUAAGAUGGCCUCGCGUCUGAUUAGAUAGUUGGUGAGGUAACGGCCCACCAAGUCGACGAUCAGUAGCCGGACUGAGAGGUUGAUCGGCCACAUUGGGACUGAGACACGGCCCAGACUCCUACGGGAGGCAGCAGUGGGGGAUAUUGCACAAUGGGCGAAAGCCUGAUGCAGCGACGCCGCGUGAGGGAAGACGGUUUUCGGAUUGUAAACUCCUGUUGUUGAGGAAGAUAAUGACGGUACUCAACAAGGAAGUGACGGCUAACUACGUGCCAGCAGCCGCGGUAAAACGUAGGUCACAAGCGUUGUCCGGAAUUACUGGGUGUAAAGGGAGCGCAGGCGGGAAGACAAGUUGGAAGUGAAAUCCAUGGGCUCAACCCAUGAACUGCUUUCAAAACUGUUUUUCUUGAGUAGUGCAGAGGUAGGCGGAAUUCCCGGUGUAGCGGUGGAAUGCGUAGAUAUCGGGAGGAACACCAGUGGCGAAGGCGGCCUACUGGGCACCAACUGACGCUGAGGCUCGAAAGUGUGGGUAGCAAACAGGAUUAGAUACCCUGGUAGUCCACACUGUAAACGAUGAUUACUAGGUGUUGGAGGAUUGACCCCUUCAGUGCCGCAGUUAACACAAUAAGUAAUCCACCUGGGGAGUACGACCGCAAGGUUGAAACUCAAAGGAAUUGACGGGGGCCCGCACAAGCAGUGGAGUAUGUGGUUUAAUUCGACGCAACGCGAUGAACCUUACCAAGUCUUGACAUCCAUCGACGACUAUAGAAAUAUAGUUUUCCUUCGGGACGGUGAGACAGGUGGUGCAUGGUUGUCGUCAGCUCGUGUCGUGAGAUGUUGGGUUAAGUCCCGCAACGAGCGCAACCCUUAUGGUCAGUUACUACGCAAGAGGACUCUGGCCAGACUGCCGUUGACAAAACGGAGGAAGGUGGGGAUGACGUCAAAUCAUCAUGCCCUUUAUGACUUGGGCUACACACGUACUACAAUGGCGUUAAACAAAGAGAAGCAAGACCGCGAGGUGGAGCAAAACUCAGAAACAACGUCCCAGUUCGGACUGCAGGCUGCAACUCGCCUGCACGAAGUUGGAAUUGCUAGUAAUCGCAGAUCAGCAUGCUGCGGUGAAUACGUUCCCGGGCCUUGCACUCACCGCCCGUCA